rnacentral:rRNA from 1 species
AACGUAGGAGACAAACGUUAUCCGGAGUUACUGGGCGUAAAGGGCGUGCAGGUGGUCUGUUAAGUCUGGCGUGAAAGCUCUCGGCUAAACCGGGAGAGGUCGUUGGAUACUGGCGGACUAGAGGACGGUAGAGGCGUGUGGAAUUCCGGGUGUAGUGGUGAAAUGCGUAGAGAUCCGGAGGAACACCAGUGGCGAAGGCGACACGCUGGGCCGUACCUGACGCUGAGGCGCGAAGGCGUGGGGAGCGAACGGG